AUGGUAGGUCUUUUUUUUUCUCUUCAUUUUUAAAAUAAAGGCCAGCAUCUUCCCCCUUAUCUUAAAUGUUUAAAUCACUGCUCGUUUCCCUCUGAGAGGAAACCCUCAGAACUGGGUGUGUAACUAUAUACUCUGCACUUGUAUAGUGCCUUCUAGAGACAGCCUGUUUCGUUAAUUUGUGCAGAUGAUCUAAUAGCCUAAAGACAGAGUCUAGGAAAUUAACCCAAGGACAUGCAAGGGAAGAGAAGAGAACUUAGGGGAGAGGCUGCAGAUUGGCAAAAGAAAAGGAGUGAAAAAAAAAGCAUCAUGCAAACCUUACACACAAGGGGCCAGGUUUAGUGCUCGGAACAGAAAAUACCUCUUGCCUAGUGCAGCAUAUGGCCAACAAAAACCAUGGCAGCAUCUGAGAAUGCAGCAAGCCUUGAAGCAAACUGAAUUGGG